rnacentral:misc_RNA from 1 species
GUAGGUGAACCUGCGGAAGGAUCACUAGUGAUUAAAUCGAGAGUGUCUUCAUUGACCUCUCACCCUUCACAUCCACAUACACCUGUGCACCGUUUGGCUCUUUUAAAAGACGUAAGUCUGCAAAGAGAGUCAUCAAUUCUGUACAUACCCCAGUCUUAUGAAUGUAACAGUUUUAAUAAACAAAAUAAAACUUUUAACAACGGAUCUCUUGGUUCUC